CGCAUCCUCUUCUCACCCGGUUCGCCCGUCCUGUCCGGGACGCCACCGGCUCGUCGGCUCUGGGAUGGACCUGCUCCUCUGCCCUCAUGAAGCCUUAGGGCGGAAGUAGUGACCCUCCAUUCCCCGGCGCCAGCCCGGGGCUCAGAGUUGCCAACGUGCUCACCAGAAGAUGGAUGGGGAAGUGAAGUCAGCUUCAGCAAAAGAAACCAAUGAGCAGGAGAGAUGAAGAGAGGAAUCCUGCUGACUAUGCCAAAAUAUUUUACCAGAGGGUCUCAGCUCCUGGCAAGUUCACUCUGUAUCCCGUGUGAUGGAGUAGCUCGGACCUUUAUAAUCAGCAGCCAAGAGCAGGCAAGCUUCAAGAUUCAGGGUCCCAGGGGUAUCACAAAGCUCCAGACCAGAGAUGGAACAGUAAGAGAGGAGGGGCUCAGGAUCCAGAGGAAGUUAGCGCCAUGACACCACACAGGCCUCCCAGCGGCGCCUUCCUCAAAAGUCAGUGCGGAGGCUGGAGCUAGAGCCCCAGGUGAGUGUCUGUUGUGGGUUCUUGCGCUGACACUCCCCAGGCACCAACUGUGCUUUACCAGCCUGCUGCCCCGCUGCUUCCUUCUGCCACCCCCUUCACUAGGCUGCUUCAUGGCCCUCUUGGGGCUACAGAGAAUACACACAGAGCUGUGCUGAGCUCCUGGCCAUCCACAAGGCUAACCUGGCUCUUGGAAAGAGAAGUGACCCCAAGACUGAGGAAAAGGGCUCUUGCCCAUCAGCACACCCACCACUUCCUACAGGGCCCAUGCCAUGGCUAGUCCUGUCCAGGGGCAGAACAGUCUGAAUGGUGCACUGCAGA